rnacentral:rRNA from 1 species
UACAGAGGGGGCAAGCGUUGUUCGGAAUUACUGGGCGUAAAGGGCGCGUAGGCGGCCUGCUAAGUCGAACGUGAAAUCCCCGGGCUCAACCCGGGAACUGCGUCCGAUACUGGCAGGCUUGAAUCCGGGAGAGGGAUGCGGAAUUCCAGGUGUAGCGGUGAAAUGCGUAGAUAUCUGGAGGAACACCGGUGGCGAAGGCGGCAUCCUGGACCGGCAUUGACGCUGAGGAGCGAAAGCCAGGGGAGCAAAGCGGG